UACAGAGGGUGCGAGCGUUGUCCGGAAUCACUGGGCGUAAAGGGCGCGUAGGCGGCCUGAUAAGUAGGGGGUGAAAUCCUGCGGCUUAACCGCAGGGCUGCCUUCUAAACUGUCGGGCUCGAGCACAGUAGAGGCAGGUGGAAUUCCCGGUGUAGCGGUGGAAUGCGUAGAGAUCGGGAAGAACAUCAGUGGCGAAGGCGGCCUGCUGGGCUGUUGCUGACGCUGAGGCGCGACAGCGUGGGGAGCAGACAGG
rnacentral:rRNA from 1 species